GUCUCUUGUCGAAAUAAACUUUUUCUAAACACAUCUGUUCUUAUCAGCUUAAUAUCUGAUACGGCCCUAUUAUGGGUCUUACGAUAUUAAUCCUAUUUUUGUAAGGCGGCGCUAGGACGGGGCUUGCCCCUCCAGCGCCACGGGUUGUCCUGGUAUUGCACUGCAGCCGGGUACAGCCCACACUAU